rnacentral:rRNA from 1 species
UACGUAGGGGGCAAGCGUUGUCCGGAAUCAUUGGGCGUAAAGCGCGUGUAGGCGGCCCGGUAAGUCCGCUGUGAAAGUCCAGGGCUCAACCCUGGGAUGCCGGUGGAUACUGUCGGGCUCGAGUCCGGAAGAGGAGUGUGGAAUUCCUGGCGUAGCGGUGAAAUGCGCAGAUAUCAGGAGGAACACCGGUGGCGAAGGCGGAUCUCUGGGCCGAUACUGACGCUGAGGAGCGAAAGCGUGGGGAGCGAACAGG